rnacentral:rRNA from 1 species
GGACCCGUCUUGAAACACGGACCAAGGAGUCUAGCGUGUGCGCGAGUCAUUGGGACUUACUAAACCUAAAGGCGAAAUGAAAGUGAAAGUUCGUCUUUGUGCGAACUUAGGGAAGACGGUUGGUCUCGCGAGACCGGCCCGCAUUCCCGGGGCGUCUCGAUCUCAUCACGAGAUGAGGCGCACCAAGAGCGUACACGCUGGGACCCGAAAGAUGGUGAACUAUGCCUGGUCAGGACGAAGUCAGGGGAAACCCUGAUGGAGGUCCGUAGCGAUUCUGACGUGCAAAUCGAUCGUCGGAACUGGGUAU